GUGAUGGAGUCAGUCUGGAUGCAGACGCAAAGGAAGAAUUAAUGGACAUACAGAAGAGUUAAAAAAAAUCUGCAGUAGUCAAAGUGGAAACAUCGCAUUGUCCUCUUGUUGGACUAUAAAUCACUUCCUAGGACCAUGAGGCCUUGAAGACCAAAAUAACCCAUUGCCUUGGAAGAUGAUCGUGGCAACUUACCAGGGGUUCGUCUAGUGCCUGUACAAUAGGCUUCCACCAGUGCGGCUCCAGGCCACAUUCCUCCAGGAUCCACGCUCACGAGUACCCACGACUCUCGUGCCUCCAGCACGUUCCUUUCCUGAAGCUCUUUAAGAGAAACCACUUCUGCUAAGAGUUUGGGGAAAAGAAGACAAAUGGCCCUUAAUGCCAAUGCACAGGUGCACAUGUUCUGUUUGUCGCUGGCCACCAAGUUAUUUAUGUUUUUAGAAGUAAAGGUUCUUGGGGACAGCCCUGUGGCACAGCAGGUUAAUGCCCUGACCUGAAGCGCUGGCAUCCCAUAUGGAUGCCGGUUUGAGACCCGGCUGCUCCACUUCCCAUCCAGCUCUCUGCUAUGGCCUGGGAAAGCAGUGGAAGAUGGCCCAAGUCCUUGGGCCCCUGCAUCUGCGUGAGAGACCAGGAAGAAGCUCCUGGCUCCUGGCAGCUCCAGCCGUUGCGCCAUUUGGGAACUGAACCAUCGGAUGGAAGACCUCUCUCUCUCUCUCUCUGCCUCGCCUCUGUCUGUGUAACUCUGACU